rnacentral:sRNA from 1 species
AAAUUGGGAUUUAACCUCCUCUGUGGUUCAAUGCUAGAAUAUGAUUCGUUUUCAAGAUGGAUCCUAUGGUUGCAUAAACUAGGUGAAAUUCCCUUAAUGUCGGAUAAUGAAUAACCAAUCGCUCUCCUAUACUUUCUAAGCUCAGAUAAUUGCAGGUUCACUUCAUCACUAUUUAACUCAGCAUUAAUGAUCAUAGGGUAAGUAGAGUUUGGACCAAGGAAUGCGUACCUUAGACCUUUUGGAAGUGGUUUGAGAUCAACCUUCGGUGCCUUAAUGCUAGUUCUAGAGUAAUUAACUAGAACUUGAUUUUAGGAUAAUAGGUAUACCCAC